AGCGCGGAGGCCGAUUCUAUCAUAUAAACAGUGGCGCGCGCGGCGCUCAGCAUUGCCCGACCAACCGUUGCGCGUACGCACGUAAUCUCGCUCUCUCGGUCCACACCGCGGCACGCGCACGAACUAUUGUGAUCUCUGUGCUUAAACAUGGAUAUUCUCACCCUGGACCCCACUGGACUCUACUAAACAUGGAUGUCUUCACCCUAGACCCAACCGGCCAGUACUAACCAUGUCAUCUGCAUCAAUUCAUUAUGAACUCAGUACUCGAUCCUACCGGGCAAUAUUGACUCCCAACAUGGUCGGACUAGACCCCACAGAAAUCUAUUAAAACCCCAUCUUCGAUGAGACAAGAUGUGUUGCGGAAGACGAAGGAUUUUAACAGGCACCCGACCAGAAGAAACGUCGUCCUGCAGGAAGAGAAGGUUUACGAGAAACCGUCCGUCGACUGAUCAAUAACAACUCAUUGCAACUGUAAAUAGUAUGAAUAAUACGGAGGGGGACGCACCUACAAGGUCAUUGGAUGGAAAUCAGCUGACUCGCGCGCCGCGGGCAUUCCGGAAACAAACACCUAUAGAAAAUCUACGGGGAAAAUUAUGCGGUUCAACGCACAUUGAAGAUUCUAAAUUCAAAUUUAAUAUAUGGCCAGGAUACAGGACUUCUGCUUCACUCGCGUCGCCAUUUCUCAUCUCAUUCAAACCCAUCCCAGCCUUAGUCCCAUACAUUCAUACAAAAUACUCAUUAGAUUUAAUAUUAAUGACUGAUAUCUCUUCGUAGUUACGCAUAUCCUUCGAGCAUUUCGUAUUUUUAUUUAAAUUAUUUAAAAUAUAAAAUUAAGAUGUUUUGCUGAUAGAAAUAUUGUUUCGAAAUAUUUGAUUAAAAGAAAAAAAAACAUUUUUAUGUCAGUGAAGUAGCAUCAAAUAGAUUUAAGAAAUUCAAUGACAAGCAAAAAGAGGCAAUGGGUUUUUUGAACGGUUUUCUUUAUAUACAAUGUAAAUUAUUUUGAGAAACCUUCAAAAAUUUUCCGAUUAUACUAUAAAAAAAAUAUUUACUUAAGUUAAUUUAGUUUAGUGUCCAAGAUUCCGGCAAUGUAUACGUAACUUCCAACAUAUUCGAGUUACCAUAUUUUUUUCUCAGCUUUUGUAAAAUGUAAAUAAGUUGCAACGCUUGUCCUUUCUUUUUUAUUAUUAUGAAUUAUUUUAAAAUUUGAAUUAUUAUUAUUUUUAAAUCUAUUUGUUUUAUAAAUUCAGUGUUGCCUAAUUAAGACUGAAAUGUUAUUGGAAAUUCCUUUUUAGCUCAAAUUUCAAUUUCUUUAGGCCCCAGAAAGGAUCCCACCCUAGAAUAAGUUUAGCUUUUGUAAGUAAAUAUGGCUUAAUUAUUAGGGGACAAUAAAGAUGUUUUAUAUUA